UUCAGUCUUAGCAGGACCCAGGGCUUCCCCUUCCACUGGUGCUCUUACUAGGAUAUUCAUUGCUACCUAUGGGGUCAGAGUCCAGGGUCAGUCCAUGUAUAGGCUUUAGGUAGUGGCUUAGUCCCUGGAAGCUCUGGUUGCUUGACAUUGUUGUACUUUUGGGGUCUCGAGCCCCUUCAAGCUCUUCCAGUUCUUUCUCUGAUUCCUUCAACGGGGGUUCUAAUCUCAGUUCAGUGGUAUGCUGCUGGUAUUCGCCUCUGUAUUUGCUGUAUUCUGGCUGUGUCUCUCAGGAGCGAUCUACAUCCGGCUCCUGUCAGUCUGCACUUCUUUGCUUCAUCCAUCUUGUCUAAUUGGGUGGCUGUAUAUGUAUGGGCCACAUGUGGGGCAGGCUCUGAAUGGGUGUUCCUUCAGUCUCUGUUUUAAUCUUUUCCUCUCUCUUCCCUGCCAUAUACCACAGCAUCUUAUGGGAUGAUGCUGGGGCCAUCCAGAGCCAGGCACUCACAGAAGCUGGAAGCUAACUCCUUCACAAAGGCUUCUUCCGGAAAGGUCCAGGAUUCGACUUCACAUGCCACAGUGCCUUCUGAGGCACCCAGAAGGACUUUCUCCUCCCAUUCCUCCUCAAAUGGAUGCCUGAGACUCUCAUCCAGGCCUCCCUUUUUCUACUGGGAGCCCUCUGCUCCCAUAACUUUCUGAUUCCUAUGGUAUAGAUUCUCUUUACAAAGAAUCCACAAGUGGCUGACAUUUUUCCGUUUCAAAGACAAGUUUCGCCGGUGGGAUGGUACUUGCUGAUAUCAGCACUUGGCAGACUUAGGGGGAUCACCAAGAGUUUAAGGCCAGCCUGUGGCUACGCAACAAGACCCUGUCUCUCAAGCCAAACCCUUGUAAAUAUGUCAGCCUUCAAAACUAUAAUUCUACAAUUAUUGCAGACCCAGCUGCGACAUCUCCGAUCUUACUGUACACCCAGGCCUUUAAAGCUUCCCCCAUACAUCAAAAUAGCAAGGGCAUAUGUAUCCCCAUCUUACCCCCCCCAGACACCUACCCAGAGCCUAGGCUGGGGUAGUGGGCUCUGCAGUCUGUUUGCAGUAACACUCUUUCACUCUCUUGUCAAGGCUGAAAGAGGGAAUAGAUGAUUCAAGAAGGCUUGGCAGCACCCAGUCGACGGCACUACACUCUGGAGUGAUGCUGGUGAGAGAUAGUCUUGUUGUAGGACAUCCUCCAAUGUGUUUAAAUACAUUGACAAACCCUCACAAUGGCAUUGUCAUACACUGCCUCCUGAUACACCGUAAGUCUAGGGAAUCAUUUGAAGAUGGAGUCUGAGAGAGCCUCCUGGUGGCCUCUGCUUGGUGGAACUCGGGCUGAGCUAAGCAGCUGGAGCUGGGCAGAGAAGUAUUAGAGAGGUCAAGGGAGGACGGGUAGAGCACUGGGGUAGCCUAGGAACUCCCCUGGAAGGGCAUUCCUCCUGAGCAGAGUGUGAACCUCGGUCGAUCACUUCAGGAGGAGUUACUUAGACCCCACCUCAGCCAAUGCCAGCCAUGAAAAUUAUCUUGAAGAGUUUAAGUCCAACUGUUUUGAUUUUUAGACAAAGUAAUGGAAGCUCAGAUAGGCCAAGUGCUCAGUUCCAAAGUACACAGUGAGAAAGUCAGAGAAAGUCAGACCGAGAGGCAAGGGCAAGUAUUUAUAGCUGUGUCUGCUCCCUUAGACUUCCUGCCUACCACACUUCUCCCACUUCUUCCCUCUUCCCUCCCCACUCUUGAUACUGUAUCUUUUGACAGAGACUCAUGUAGCCCAGGCUGGCUGUGAACUCACUGUGUAGCUGAGGAUAACCUUGUACGGCUGAUCUUUCUGCCUCCGCCUUCCAUGUGGAGAGAUUGCAGGCACGUGCCACUAAACCUAGGUUUGUCCCUUUGCUGCAUUUUACUAGAAAGUUUUUUUUUUCCAGUCAGCCAUGCAAUAAACAUUGAGUACAUGAUGUUGGCUGCUGGGAAUGGAAGUCUCUACCCUGGAAGUUCCCCAUAUUGCACGGACAGUGACCGUUGAGUCAGUUAUGACAAGCCAUGCAGUGUAAACUGUGCUUGGGGUCAGGCUGUGUGUGCAGCGAACAGAGAAGGGCGUACGACAAGGCAGAACUUCGUGAUGGACAGCCAAUAGUAAGCAAUUCGUUUUCCUAAUUACCAAGCUUUAAUUAAUCCCAGCUACGUCAGACGCUGGUAACAGCCCAGCCACAAGACAAGAGUGGGUGAGAUGAGGGAGAAGGUGGGCUGAAGCUGGCAUAGAAUGUGAGCAUGGACUUUCAAGACUGGACUCUGGUCUACUGAGGUGGACAGCAACAUGUCCUCACUGGUGAGACAGGGCUCUUACUGACCAAAAUAGUUUGGAGCACGAAAUGAGAAAAUGCCAGGGAUGACUAUAGCACAGCUGCCCCCUACAAACACACACACAGUGAACCCCAUUUCUAUAGCUGCUAUAUGAUGCUUGACUGUAUGGAUUCCAGGUCCUGGGAGUCUACCCGCCUAUUUGUCUCGCUAUAGAAAUGAUGACUUUUGUUUCUGGUCUCCGCUUGCCCCUCACUGAAGUAGUCAGGAGCCUCUGCUUCCCCAGGAUCUGAGCACCUCAGCCUGUGGCUUCCCUGAGAAGCCAUUGCUGCUGGGAGAACAGCUGCUCCCCCAAAUUCUGAUAUUCUCUCGAACAGGGACCCUGCUGUGUUAAUUAGGAAAACUGCAUGCAUGCCUGAACACUUGGCUUUUCUUUCUUCAUAUCCCCCUCCCCCGCCAGAAAAAAAUACUCCUUUGAUCAGCGCCAUGGGUAAACAUGCAAGAUAGGUCUCGAAAUUUUGUGUGAGGAAUAUGAAGGAGGGGCCAUCUGCUCUCCUGAUGGCUCCCAGUGAACCCAGUCCUCAUGAGCCUGCAGCACUGGGAAGGACAGGCCUUCUAGGCCCUCUCCAAAGCACAGGAGAGCAUGCUGACAAGCACCAGCCGGGUGAGACCCACAUGUUCCCACCUGUGGCAGCUUGGGCUCACAAGUGGGUAGGCUGCUCCCUCCCUUUCCUGGCCUCCUACAGUGACCACCUACACUGGUUUCCUUUGGGUUAGCAUGGAGGGAACAAAAGAGAACAGGUCAAAAUGAGGGAACUGGAGACGGAUGCCAGCCUAGCAAUCCAGACAUCCAUCUUCUUUUUCUUAUCACGCCAAGCAUCCCAAGAAUCCCCUCUGAUUCAACUCAAGAGAGCAAACGUGGGUGCUGUGGCUAGUUUCUGCUCACACAUCCCCCACCCCCUCCCUGGAAAGGUUUAGCAUCUCCUCAUAUCCCUUUAAAAGAAAACUCAAUCCAUAAGGGCUUAGUUAUUGUGUAGAAGUCAUGGGCGGAUCAUCUUUGCUUACAGAAUGGCUGUGUGACAAUGUGUGCUGAUCUUUAUGAAAGAUGUCAUGUGCUGGCUCCUGCGCGGGGACAGAGAGAAAAGAAACGUUUAUUAGGGCCUUGCUUCUCCCAGUGCUGAUCUCAGAGCUGCUCCCCUCUCCGAUGUUUUUCCACAAUGCUUUUUAUUCUCCUCUACUCUUGUCUUUCUCUCUGAAAACUCUCCAGAAGACCCAUGAGUUUCUCUGUGGCUUGAGCCCAGGCCCCACUUCUAUGCCUGGCUCCUUUCCACCCUCUCAGGACCACUGCAGACGCCGAAGGGCCCUGUCAUCUUUCCGUGCUUCACAGACUCUCUAUCUCCCAGACCCAAGCAGCCCUAGUCAUUCUUGCAUUUGGUUUGUGAUAGAAAUUUUGGAAAGCGCCUUCUGCUCAUAGAGGGAAAUCACCUGAAGGGACUCUAAUCCGCUUCCCAAAUGUACACAGAGCGACUGACAUUCUCCUCAAUGGAAUGGAACUAAUCUGAGCAAAUUGGUUUUUCUGGUACAGUCUCUCAAAAUAUGCUACACAGUUCCUUGUUGAAGUAAAAGGCUCAUCGUGCUCACUCCUCCAUUCCCAGCACAGCAUCUGGGCAGCUGUGUGCUCUUAGGAUAACAGGGCUAGUCUGGCUGUGGGGAGAAAUUAAUGACACUGCGGCUGUGCAGGGACUUACUUGAGCUGUCUUCCCAUUUGCAAAACAUGGAUGAAGGUGGUCUCAGGGGCCCUGGGUCCACAGACAGAUUUCCUUCCCAGCUCUGGUCGAACCUGCCUGCCAUUCAUUGCUAAGUCCUCACAGAGCUGAGUUGGGAGAUCAGGCAGGGACAGGAAGCAAGAUGGACUUAUGGUUUCAUUUGACAUAAAAGCCAAUAGACUUUAAACCUUCAAAGGGUGAGUUGCAAUUAAAAAAAAAAAUCUAUUGCUGGGCAGUGGUGGCCCAUGCCUUUACUCCCAGAACUUGGGAGGCAGAAGCAGGCAGAUCUCUGUGAGUUCCAGGCCAGUCUGGACUACAGAGUAAGUUUCCAGGACAGCCAGAACUUCACUGAGAAACCCUUGAAGAAACAACACAGAUAUCUAUGUAUCUAUCUAUGUAUCUAUCUAUGUAUCUAUCUAUGUAUCUAUGUAUCUAUCAUCUAUGUAUACAUAUGUAUGUAUAAUGUUGUAUGAAUAGUUAUUAAAUGCAUAAUAUAACAAAUUUAUCCUUCAUUGUAAAUACAGGUGUAUAGCUGUGA